GGAAGAAACGUUACCAGACUGAGUGGAAGUUUCUCGCUCGAAUUAACUUGUUUCCACCAAGAUGGUUUCUCUCAGAUCACUAGAGAAGCCACGGAGGAGAAAGGUGUGGAUGCGCUUUGAGUCAACGGAUUGGUUCGUCUUUGUGUUCGACACACAAACACUUUGACAAACUUGCACACAGAGUUUGGCCGAAUCAACCACGCACUCUACCUGUGAGAAACGAAGCUUCUUCGAUUACCGGGAAGGGAUAUAUCUUUUUGCGGAUGAUGUGUGAUCUUGGUAUAAGGGCCAAGUGGCUUUGUGAUUGCUCAGUUUUAGUAACAGGUUGUGGUCCGUCUGGUUCUAUGUUCAAGACAAGGGAUUCAACUUCACGGCUUGUGGCUGGUUUGCUGUCUGAGUAGUGCUAUUUUGCAUCUCUACGGAGUUUAUGGUUUGGUUUCGUGUUCACUGAAAGUCUUUGAGAAGAUGGAUCGAGAAGCAACUAAACCCUUGAAAGACUGGACAGCCUUUCUGCAAACAGUUUAGCUGAGCUUGAUGUCAGGAGCGCCGAGGGGUUGCCCCUUCGCAGUUAACUGGGGUUGAUCUCCAACAAUCCUCUAUAGCCUUGUUCUUCUUACGAACGCUGGCCAUCAGCGUCAGUAACUGAAAAGCACAUCUUCACUAUCUUCACUGAAAAGUUUGACAUCAAUGAUUGGUUCCCUCAAGACAUCCUCUCUGAAAUAUUUGCAAAGGCACUCUCUGAGGACAUUCCUCCAGGCGUCAAUGCAUAUCAGCAUGAUGGUGCUGGUGUUAGUUUGAAUGUAGAGAACCAUGAUCCUAAAAACUGGUCUUAUUUUCGGAAACUGGCCGAGGAAGAGUUCAGUGUAAGAGAUGUUCCCCCAGGCUUUCCAUCUGACAUGGAAGAUAGCGGAGUGGAUACCAAGCGGCAUCACGACCAGAGAUGGUAUUACAGCAGAGAAUAGUGUGGAUCCUCAGCUGAAUGAAGGUCAAGAUUGUGAUUAUGUUGCUGGCACUGACGAGGAUGCACAGAUGAAGGUCACAGAGAGUGAGGAGUUUGGUGCUAUGGUUGAGAAUCUAAGGACUCUGGAUUUUGAACAUGAGGAUGAUGAAAAUACAGAAACAAGGAAUGCUCAGCUUCCUCCACUUGGUUCGCCUUUGGCAGAUUAUGAUGCAAGUGGGUUGCAGAUCAUUUAUGAAUGAUGUUCUCGAGGAGCUAAAGGCACUUGGUUCUGGCACGUUCGGUACACUGUAUCAUGGCAAAUGGAGAGGAUCAGAUGUUGCCAUUAAGAGGAUAAAGAAGAGUUGAUUUGCUGGUCGAUCUUCGGAACAAGAGAGAUUAACUGAAAUUCUGUCAAAGCUUCAUCAUCCAAAUGUGGUUCCAUUUUAUGGUGUUGUAAAAGAUGGACCUGGUGGAACAUUAGUUACUGUAACAGAGUUCAUGGUUGAUGGCUCUCUGAGACAUGUUUUAAUCUGGAAAGAUAGGUACAAAUCUCUCUUAUAACGUUUUUCUGGUGGCCGGUUAAGAGAUUAUUUGCUUUUCCUUGUGUUAUGUUUUCAGACACCUGAAAUAUUUGCACGCCAAAAACAUUGUUCACUUCGAUUUUGAAAUGUGAUAACUUACUUGUAAACCUUAAAGAUCCCUCUCGCCCGGUCUGCAAGGUUGGUGAUUUCGGUUUGUCGAAAACUAAAAGAAAUACAUUAGUAUCUGGUGGUGUACGUGGAACCCUUCCAUCGAUGGCACCAGAGCUUCUAAAUGGUAGCAGCAGCAAAGUUUCAGAGAAGGUGGAUGUCUUCUCUUUUGGUAUAGCCUUGUGGGAGAUUCUGACUGGAGAGAGACAGGGAGAGAGGAACCAUAUGCUAAUAUGCACUAUGGUGCAAUAAUAGGUGGGAUAGUGAAGCUAUACCAAGUUACUGUGAGUCUGACUGGAGAAUACUAAUGUGGAAGAGUGUUAGGCGCCUAAUCCAACGACACGGCCAUCCUUCACUGAGAUAGCUGGUCGGUUACAUGUGAUGACAACUGCUGCAACUUCGAACCAGUCCAAACCGCCAUAUCACAAUAAAGCUUCAAAGUAAAACAUAGUCUUUUAAUCUUUACUCUUUUUCAAUGUUUUGGGUCAGGAGGGAGAUAUUUGUUGACCAUUUUCUUCUUUCCCUUUUUCUUUUACCAAAACCAUAAACAUGUUUAAGUAAUAAAAUUGGUUUGAGGCGUUUAGUCAAAAUUGUUUUAUCUGACGUUGGUAUAUAAGAACUACUAUUUUAACCCUCGCUGAGCGGGAGGGUAUUUUA